GCUGAGUGUGGUGGUGUGCACCUGUGGUCCCAGCUACUCAGAAGGCUGAGGUGGGAGGAUCGCUUGUGCCCAGGAGGUCAAGGCUGCAGUGAACCAAGAUGGUGCCACUGCACUCUAGCCUGGGUGACAGAGUGAGACCCCGUCUCAA
rnacentral:SRP_RNA from 1 species